GAUGAACGCUGGCGGCGUGCUUAACACAUGCAAGUCGAACGAAGCACUGUUUAACUUUCGGGUUAAACAGUGACUUAGUGGCGGACGGGUGAGUAACGCGUGGGUAACCUGCCUUAUACAGGGGGAUAACAGCUGGAAACGGCUGCUAACACCGCAUAAGCGCACAGUAUCGCAUGAUACAGUGUGAAAAUAUUUAUAGGUAUAAGAUGGACCCGCGUCUGAUUAGCUAGUUGGUGAGGUAAUGGCCCACCAAGGCGACGAUCAGUAGCCGGCUUGAGAGAGUGAACGGCCACAUUGGGACUGAUACACGGCCCAAACUCCUACGGGAGGCAGCAGUGGGGAAUAUUGCACAAUGGGGGAAACCCUGAUGCAGCGACGCCGCGUGAGUGAAGAAGUAUUUCGGUAUGUAAAGCUCUAUCAGCAGGGACGAUAAUGACGGUACCUGACUAAGAAGCCCCGGCUAACUACGUGCCAGCAGCCGCAGUAA
rnacentral:rRNA from 1 species